UACGUAGGGGGCAAGCGUUGUCCGGAAUCAUUGGGCGUAAAGCGCGCGUAGGUGGCCCGGUACGUCCGCUCUGAAAGUCAAAGGCUCAACCUUUGAAAGCGGGUGGAUACUGUCGGGCUAGAGUCCGGAAGAGGCGAGUGGAAUUCCUGGUGUAGCGGUGGAAUGCGCAGAUAUCAGGAGGAACACCAACGGCGAAGGCAGCUCGCUGGGACGGUACUGACACUAAGGCGCGAAAGCGUGGGGAGCGAACAGG
rnacentral:rRNA from 1 species